rnacentral:rRNA from 1 species
ACCCGCUGAACUUAAGCAUAUCAAUAAGCGGAGGAAAAGAAACCAACAGGGAUUGCCCCAGUAACGGCGAGUGAAGCGGCAACAGCUCAAAUUUGAAAUCUGGUCCCCAGGGCCCGAGUUGUAAUUUGCAGAGGAUGCUUUUGGUGAGGUGCCUUCCGAGUUCCCUGGAACGGGACGCCAUAGAGGGUGAGAGCCCCGUCUGGUUGGAUACCGAGCCUCUGUAAAGCUCCUUCGACGAGUCGAGUAGUUUGGGAAUGCUGCUCUAAAUGGGAGGUAUAUGUCUUCUAAAGCUAAAUAUUGGCCAGAGACCGAUAGCGCACAAGUAGAGUGAUCGAAAGAUGAAAAGCACUUUGAAAAGAGGGUUAAAUAGUACGUGAAAUUGUUGAAAGGGAAGCACUUAUGACCAGACUUGGCCCCGGUGAAUCAUCCAGCGGUCCCCGCUGGUGCACUUUGCCGGGGUUCAGGCCAGCAUCAGUUCGCUCCGGGGGAUAAAGGCUUUGGGAAUGUGGCUCCCUCGGGAGUGUUAUAGCCCAUUGCGUAAUACCUUGUGGCGGGCUGAGGUUCGCGCUUUAUGCAAGGAUGCUGGCAUAAUGGUCAUCAGUGACCCGUCUUGAAACACGGACCAAGGAGUCGUCUUCGUAUGCGAGUGUUCGGGUGUUAAACCCCUACGCGUAAUGAAAGUGAACGCAGGUGAGAGCCCUCCAGGGCGCAUCAUCGACCGAUCCUGAUGUUCUCGGAUGGAUUUGAGUAAGAGCAUACGGGGCCGGACCCGAAAGAAGGUGAACUAUGCCUGUAUAGGGUGAAGCCAGAGGAAACUCUGGUGGAGGCUCGCAGCGGUUCUGACGUGCAAAUCGAUCGUCAAAUAUGGGCAUGGGGGCGAAAGACUAAUCGAACCUUCUAGUAGCUGGUUUCCGCCGAAGUUUCCCUCAGGAUAGCAGUGUUGAUUUCUCAGUUUUAUGAGGUAAAGCGAAUGAUUAGGGACCCGGGGGCGGCUUAUAGCCUUCAUCCAUUCUCAAACUUUAAAUAUGUAAGAAGCCCUUGUUGCUUAUUGAACGUGGGCAUUCGAAUGUAUCAACACUAGUGGGCCAUUUUUGGUAAGCAGAACUGGCG